AUUGAACGCUGGCGGCAGGCCUAACACAUGCAAGUCGAGCGGAGCGGCGGACGGGUGAGUAAUGCCUGGGAAUCUGCCUGGUCGUGGGGGAUAACGUCCGGAAACGGGCGCUAAUACCGCUUUCUAUCAGAUGAGCCUAGGUCGGAUUAGCUAGUUGGUGGGGUAAAGGCCUACCAAGGCGACGAUCCGUAACUGGUCUGAGAGGAGGAUCAGUCACAUUGGAGCUGAGACACGGUCCAGACUCCUACGGGAGGCAGCAGUGGGGAAUAUUGGACAGUGGGGGAAAGCCUGGUCCAGGCAUGCCGGGUGUGUUAAGAAGGUCUUCGGAUUGUAAAGCACUUUAAGUUGGGAGGCGUUACCAGCAGAAUAAGCACCGGCUAACUUCGUGCCAGCAGCCGCGGUAAUAC
rnacentral:rRNA from 1 species